UACGUAGGGUGCAAGAGUUAAUCGGAAUUACUGGGCGUAAAGCGUGCGCAGGAGGUUUUGAAAGUCAGAAGUGAAAUCCCCGGGCUUAACCUGGGAACUGCGUUUGAAACUACAAGGCUAGAGUGUGACAGAGGGGGGUGGAAUUCCACGUGUAGCAGUGAAAUGCGUAGAGAUGUGGAGGAACACCGAUGGCGAAGGCAGCCCCCUGGGUUAACACUGACGCUCAGGCACGAAAGCGUGGGGAGCAAACAGG
rnacentral:rRNA from 1 species